rnacentral:rRNA from 1 species
UGAGGAAUAUUGCACAAUGGGCGCAAGCCUGAUGCAGCGACGCCGCGUGGGUGAUGAAGGUCUUCGGAUCGUAAAGCCCUUUUUCUGCGUGACGAGACAGGACGGUAGCGCAGGAAUAAGUCUCGGCUAACUACGUGCCAGCAGCCGCGGUAAAACGUAGGAGACGAACGUUAUCCGGAGUUACUGGGCGUAAAGGACGUGUAGGCGGUUUGUUAAGUCUGGCGUGAAAGCUCUCGGCUAAACCGGGAGAGGUCGUUGGAUACUGGCGAACUAGAGGAUGGUAGAGGCGUGUGGAAUUCCGGGUGUAGUGGUGAAAUGCGUAGAGAUCCGGAGGAACACCAGUGGCGAAGGCGACACGCUGGGCCAUACCUGACGCUAAAGCGCGACAGCAUGGGGAGCAAACGGGAUUAGAUACCCAUGUAGUCCCUGAGCGGGCUGGCAAGGCGCAU